AACGAACGCUGGCGGCAGGCCUAACACAUGCAAGUCGAACGGGAUCUUCGGAUCUAGUGGCGGACGGGUGAGUAACGCGUGGGAACGUGCCCUUUGGUUCGGAAUAGCCCCGGGAAACUGGGAGUAAUACCGGAUAAGCCCUACGGGGGAAAGAUUUAUCGCCAAAGGAUCGGCCCGCGUUGGAUUAGGUAGUUGGUGAGGUAAUGGCUCACCAAGCCGACGAUGCAUAGCUGGUUUGAGAGGAUGAUCAGCCACACUGGGACUGAGACACGGACCAGACUCCUACGGGAGGCAGCAGUGGGGAAUCUUAAACAAUGGGGGAAACCCUGAUCUAGCCAUGCCGCGUGAUCGAUGAAGGCCUUAGGGUUGUAAAGAUCUUUCAGUGGGGAAGAUAAUGACUGUACCCACAGAAGAAGCCCCGGCUAACUCCGUGCCAGCAGCCGCGGUAA
rnacentral:rRNA from 1 species